UGCAUUUUUUGGUAAGACGAUGUUAACAAAAGUUGUUCGUCUUGAUGAGGGCUACAACUUUUCUUAAUAUCCUUUUAACAAAUUAUGCGUAUUUAAGAAGAUAGGCUGCGCAUGCGCAGAACGUAACUACUUACGCUUGCAUUUUUUGGUAAGAUGAUUUUAACAAAAGUUGUUCGUCUUGAUGAGGGCUACAACUUUGCUUAAUAUCCUUUUAACAAAUUAUGCG
rnacentral:miRNA from 1 species